CCCCGCCCAUCUCUCCGCCCCAUCCCCCCCCGCUCUGUGGCUGCUGCAGGAAGCGGGAGGGGCUGGCGAGUGAGGGCAGCGCAGGGGGGCAGCGGCUUCAGCAGCUGUUACUGAGCAUCCCCCACCCCCUCCGCAGCCAGACUAACCGAUCCCAGGGAGGGGGCCGGGCUUCCAGCUUCCGGGCUUCCCCUCUAGUCUCUCCGCAGAGCUGGGGAUGGACUUCCCGGGUCACACGCUGCCGCCGCCGCCUCCAUUGUGAGCCGAGCGCGGACCCAGCUUGCAGCACAGGGCGUGACUCUGAACUGGAUUAUCUCUCUGUCUCUGGGACCGUGAGUGAGACCAAGGAGGAGAAUCCUCAGCUGGGAGUCUUGGAGCAGGGGGAACCACACAGGACAGUUUGGGGAGAUCCUAGGAGACUCAGCCCAGGCCAUACGGGCACCCGGGAAAAGAGCCAGGGCAGAGACAGCGUGAAUCAGCUCACCGGAGCAGAGGGGUUGGAAAAGUCAAAGAAACUGCCCAGCAGAGAAUCCCCCUGGAGACAGACCCAGUAUGUUUGGUGACUGUGGGAACAGCUUCCCUGGGAGUUCAGCCCAUAUUACUCCGCAGACAAUCCACAUGGGAGAAAAACGCUAUAGAUGUGCUGAGUGUGGGAAAAGCUUUUCUCAGAGUACUACUCUCAUUAACCAUCAGAGACUCCACACAGGAGAGAAGCCCUAUAUGUGCCCCACAUGUGGGAUCAGCUUUGUUCAGCUCUCACAAGUUGUUAGACACCAGAGAAUCCACACGGGAGAAAAGCCCUAUACAUGCCUGACCUGUGGGAAAAGCUUCAGUGAUAAAUCACAUUUCAAUCAACAUCAGAAGAUCCACACAGGAGAAAAACCCUAUACAUGUCUGACCUGUGGGAAAAGCUUCCGGUACAGUUCAGCUCUUACCACACAUCAGAGAAAACACACUGGAGAGAAACCUUAUAAAUGUCCCGAGUGCCAAAAAUCCUUCAGUGACAGUUCAAUCUUUAGCAGGCAUCGGAGGGUACACACAGGAGAGAAGCCCUUCAAAUGCUGUGAUUGUGGGAAAAGCUUUGGGGAGAGCUCAGACCUUCUUGUACAUCAGAGAGUACACACGGGAGAGAAACCCUAUAAAUGCCUUGAGUGUGGGACAAGUUUCAGGGUACCGUCAGCACUUAUUGUACAUCAGAGAGUACACACGGGAGAGAGGCCCUAUAAGUGCCUGACCUGUGGGAAAACAUACCGGUGUAGCUCUCACCUUACUAAACAUCAGAGAAUCCACACAGGCAAGCAAUCCUUGAAGUGCCCUGAAUAGGGAAGGGCCAAGUGAAUAACGUCUUUGCCAGUUCCCAAGAACCUCAGAGCGUCAGGCCAGGCUGGAGUGGCCGUGUAAUGGGGAUAUGCAAUGGAUAUAAAGCAGAGAAUAAAAUCCCAUUCCUGGAACAGAGUCAUGCAGAGCAGGAGGCUGGGAUAAGAUUCCCACAUUGUGAUGGGAUUUUAUUAUGAUUUUUCAAGACUCUCUGAAUGUCCUCUGAUGAGCUCCUACAUUUAAGUUAAUUCCCCACAGGAGAGUUGGCAACCGUACCAGAGUGCUGGGCAAUUCCCUGAGCUGAGCUCUCCCACAGACAGCUGAUCGCAGACUCUGAGUGAUUCUAUAGCUGGGCGUGUCCCUACCUGUGUGGCUGGAAAGAGGGCUUUGAGAGCCUAACACAGCAGCACAGAGUGUGAGAGGGCCAGGCUAGGGGGACAGGCACACUCAGUGGGACCCCAGCACAUCCGGUGGCACCCUGGGAAUGGGGGCCCAACCCGUCAGAGCACUGCACACACUCCUCCCCCAGGAAAGGAUAAGAGAACAAACAGGCUGCUUAUUACACCAUGGAUAGGUAGGGGUGCUCACAUAUUGUGGGGAUGAGCAUGGUAUAAGCACCCACACAGAAUAGAAUUUAUCUUAUGCUCUGUAACCUCUCAUUUCUACUUGAUAGUAUAUUGUUUAAUAAAAUGGAUACAUUCAGGAGCAAUAAUGGUCUCCAUGAGGUUUGAAA